rnacentral:lncRNA from 1 species
CAUUCCUAUGCACACGAAUCUCUCUAAACCAAGAUAUGUCCAUAUGAGGCUAAGACUGCCUUCCUCUAAGGCUAUCAGGAUGGAUCCAAAACCAAUCUUAAGGAUUACCUGUGAUCCCAAAGAUAUUCAUAAAGAAAACUUAACUGGAUAUAUAACGCAAUGAGAAACUUUCAAGAACUCUACCUAUUUAUGCUGUGACAUACAGAUGGCCGCAGUAGUCAUAUUGCUGAUAUGGAUAUGGGAGAAAUGGAAAAAACUUUUGUCUUAAUCUGGUAACCCAGGCUCUGGAUUCAGAUGUGGACAUUUUGCCACUUGUCCAGAUGAGCCAGCAGAGACAGGAAUCAGCUUCUAGAACUAAGCCUGUUCACUGCUUUUCAAAGCCCAAAUGUAGCAGAGUGUCUCUGUGGGAAACAAGGCAGAAGCAGAAAAUCACUCCAAGAGGGAACUCAGACUGCCAAAUAAUUGGUCUCAAGCACGAGUUCACUGGACUUUGGCUCAUUCCCCAAGGGGAAGAGCUCACAAUGGAAACAGUGAUGGUCACUUACUCAGGCAGCCAAGAGAAUGAAAAGCACAUUGAAACCCAGCAGUGUCCCUGCGGGAGAGCUUAUCCAGUGCCACUGUGA